UGAGUACGAAAUGCUACGGCAUUGAAGCAGUCUAUGUCAUACUUCCAAGAAAAGCUUGCACUGUCAUAAACAAAUAAUGCCUGUACCAUAACCGACACAGGUGGGUAGGUAGAGUAUACUAAGGGGCGCGAGAUAACUCUCUCUAAGGAACUCGGCAAAAUGACUCCGUAACUUCGGGAGAAGGAGUGCCUUAUUUCUAAGGUUGCAAUAACAAGAUCCAAGCAACUGUUUAUCAAAAACACAGGUCUCCGCUAAGUCGUAAGACGAUGUAUGGGGGCUGACGCCUGCCCAGUGCCAGAAGGUUAAAGAAGUUGGUUAGCAUCCGCGAAGCUGUUAACUGAAGCCCUGGUGAACGGCGGCCGUAACAAUAACGGUCCUAAGGUAUCGAAAUUCCUUGUCGGGUAAGUUCCGACCCGCACGAAAGGCGUAAUGAUUUGGAUACUGUCUCGGAGAGGGGCUCGGUGAAAUAGACUUGUCUGUGAAGAUGCGGACUACCUGCACCUGGACAGAAAGACCCUAUGAAGCUUUACUGUAACUUGAAAUUGAAAUUGGACUUUAUUUGCGCAGUAUAGGUGGGAGGCGUUGAAGAUAUUCUUGCGGGAAGAUUGGAGCCAUCAGUGAGAUACCACUCUUGUAAUGUUAGAUUUCUAACUUUGUAUCAUUAUCUGGUCAAAGAACAGUUUCAGGCGGGCAGUUUGACUGGGGCGGUCGCCUCCCAAACGGUAACGGAGGCGCACAAAGGUUUCCUCUGAACGGGUAGAAAUCGUAUCUAGAGUGUAAAGGCAUAAGGAAGCUUGACUGUGAGACCUACAAGUCGAGCAGGGACGAAAGUCGGUCUUAGUGAUCUGACGGUGCUGAGUGGAAAGGCCGUCACUCAACGGAUAAAAGUUACUCUAGGAUAACAGGCUGAUCUCCCCCAAGAGUUCACAUCGACGGGGAGGUUUGGCACCUCGAUGUCGGCUCAUCGCAUCCUGGGGCGGUAGUACGUCCCAAGGGUUGGGCUGUUCGCCCCAUGAAAGCGGUACGCGAGCUGGGUUCAGAACGUCGUGAGACAGUUCGGUCCAUAUCCGGUGUAGGCGUUAGAAUAUUGAGAGGAGCCUUCUUUAGUACGAGAGGACCGAGAAGGACAUACCUCUGGUGUACCAGUUAUCGUGCCAACGGUAAACGCUGGGUAGCUAUGUAUGGAGAGGAUAACCGCUGAAAGCAUCUAAGUGGGAAGCCCACCUCAAGAUAAG
rnacentral:rRNA from 1 species